AUGAAUUGCUUAAGCUGGAACUACCGGGGAGGGGGGAAUUCCCGGACAGUUCGAGAGUUGACGACCUUGUGUCGAUCACAUUCCCCCAUGUUUGUGUUUUUGUGUGAAACGAGGCAGAAGGAAGCGAAGAUGAAGAAGUUGAGAGGCAGGUUAGGUCUUAAGGGGUUUUGUGGUGUUGACAGCUCUGGUAUGAGUGGUGGCCUAGCCAUGUACUGGCAUGAAAACUAUGUGGUAGAUGUUCUUGACAAAGAUGAUCGCCAUGUUGAUGCUCUAGUCCGUGUGAAAAAGGUGCGGAGCAGUGGAGAAUUACGUUCGUGUAUGGUGAACCGCGGGUGGAAAACCGGCAUCUCAUGUGGACAAAACUGCAGAAUUUGA
rnacentral:rRNA from 1 species